UACGGGGGGAGCAAGCGUUGUUCGGAUUUACUGGGCGUAAAGGGCGCGUAGGCGGCCACCGCAAGUCGACUGUGAAAUCUCCGGGCUUAACUCGGAAAGGUCAGCCGAUACUGCGGGGCUAGAGUGCAGAAGGGGCAACUGGAAUUCUCGGUGUAGCGGUGAAAUGCGUAGAUAUCGAGAGGAACACCUGCGGCGAAGGCGGGUUGCUGGGCUGACACUGACGCUGAUUGUGCGAAAGCUAGGGGAGCGAAUGGG
rnacentral:rRNA from 1 species